GGCGCACGAAGCGGGGGAACUCCUCGGGCGCGUCGUCGCCGUCGGCGCGGCCGGGACGGAGGCGGAGGUCGACGCAGGGCGCGGACGCCCAGAGGUGGCGCCACCGCCGCGACAGCACGCAGAUUAUCAAAACACCAAGUGUUACACUAAGAAGAGGAAGAAAAGUGGGAAAUCUAUUCCUCAACUUGGACAGCAAUCCAACCAAUCGAUUGCCCUGCUUGUGGUGCUUUCUAAGUUUGACAAGAACCUGACUGAAUUCUCUAAAGAUACAAAUCUAACACCAGCGCAACUUCGAGGGGAGGAUGACAUCCCAAUGCACCCUAUGCCUGCUAAAUGGAAAUAUGAGUAUGGUAAACUGCUCGUGUGGCCGCAGUUGGUGAAACAUCUCCCAAUGAAAAUGUACAAGCUGCAUGAAUGGUAUGUGGAGGCUACAACACAGGGUAUGGCUAUGAUGGAAGUACGGAUUGGUGAUGAACGUUACUUCCAUGCGGAUGACAUCAUAAAUGUGCUGCUAGACCAGCUGUAUAUGCUAUUCAAUCAAGACGUACUAGAUAAAUCACUGAUCAAUUGUUGGGUCCUGAUGAAGAUUCAGACUUAUCGCAAAAACGGAUACCAUGAUGUAGGCUCCAUGGACUCCAAAAUUAUACACAAAAAUAAUCUAAGGGAUAAACCAAAUCGGACCUUAAAGAAUAUAUUUAAGUUCCUCAGCAAGCAUUAUUACAAGAAGUACAUAUUACUAACGUGGAACUUCAAGUGAGCGUUUUUCCCAUCUCUUUUUUUUCUGAACUUGUAGUUAAACAUAAUACUAACUAGCUUCAAUUUGGAUGUACAACUUCCAUUGGAUACUCCUUGUUAUUGUGCUCGAUAUGAGCUUCGUGUAUGUCUUCGACUCUUUGAGGAAACCAAAAGAAAAAUACGCUGACAUCAUGGACGUUGUGAACAAAUGUUGGGCUCAAUUUUGUCGAACUCACACGGGUGAAUUCAAGGAGGAACUUGUUUGGAACACAAAUUUCCUGUGUUUGAGAGAGCCGCCGGAUACUAAUUUAUGUGGAUACUACUUUUGUGAUGGCAUCCACGCCUUUAUGCAUCUGAACCGUAUGACCGACCACCAAUUAACCAUGAUGGCCAUGAAGGAUAAACUCCUCGAGACCGAAGUUUUUAGGGCAAUACAAGAACAAUUAUGUGGAUUUCUUCUAGACGAGGUCGCAAAUCCAGCGGGGAAGUUUCAUAAUAACGGAUCUAAUCUAGUGCACCCUCCGGAGUCGGGUACAGAAUAGUAAAUAAGAUAUAUGUAUGCACAAUAUGUCUAUAUAUAUAUAUGUGUACGCACAAUAUAUAUAUAUAAUAUCUCAAAUGUUAUAUUAAUGGUAAAUAGAA